rnacentral:rRNA from 1 species
CUGGCGGCGUGCCUAACACAUGCAAGUCGAACGAGAAAGUGGAGCAAUCCAUGAGUAAAGUGGCGACCGGGUGAGUAACACGUGACUAACCUGCCUUUGAGUGGGGGAUAACCUCGGGAAACCGGGGCUAAUACCGCAUAAUGCCUACGGGUUAAAGGAGCAAUUCGCUUGAAGAGGGGGUCGCGGCUGAUUAGCUAGUUGGCGGGGUAACGGCCCACCAAGGCGAUGAUCGGUAGCCGGCCUGAGAGGGCGCACGGCCACACUGGAACUGAAACACGGUCCAGACUCCUACGGGAGGCAGCAGUGGGGAAUUUUGCGCAAUGGGAGAAACCCUGACGCAGCAACGCCGCGUGGAGGAUGAAGUCCUUUGGGACGUAAACUCCUUUCGACCGGGACGAUAAUGACGGUACCGGUGGAAGAAGCCCCGGCUAACUUCG